UCCGGUGACAAUAAUGCAAGGGAACCACCUGUACUCAUACCGAACACAGAAGUUAAGCCUUGAGAUGCCGAUGGUACUUGGCUGGUGACGGCCUGGGAGAGUAGGAAAUCGCCGG
rfam:Clostridiales bacterium KA00134 genomic scaffold Scaffold21, whole genome shotgun sequence.